rnacentral:lncRNA from 1 species
GGGGGCUGAGCCACUGCAAACCUUUUGUGUGACUUUGGGGGGCCCAGGGCUGCACAGAGUGCUCCAUGUGCUCAAACUUCUCUAUUCUUCAGCACACAGCAAUGUGUCCUUUGGGUUUUCUGAGCUGUAUAUCAUGUCCUGGUGCUUGAAAUCACAGAACCAGCUGAAUGCCAUUGUAAACUUGAAAAGAGCUACAAGGAGACUUAAUUUGAAAACAUAAAGGUCACUGAAGGCCUGACAAAUGGGAUGCCUUUGGCAAAAAUAUACUCGCUGACUUGAGCACCACCUCUGAAAAUGGAAACAAACCAAUGUGCUGAUACUGCAGAGCUGCUGAUUGACUGGAGCCCCUUUGUUCACACAGAAAUCACCCACGUGCUGAAAUUCACUGAUUUUCCAUUGAAUCUACAUCAGCUUCGUUCCUGCAGCCAUACUCACCCUGAGAGUCCCUCACACCUUCUUUGA